CCUACGGGUGGCAGCAGUGAGGAAUAUUGGUCAAUGGACGAGAGUCUGAACCAGCCAAGUAGCGUGAAGGAUGACUGCCCUAUGGGUUGUAAACUUCUUUUAUAUGGGAAUAAAAUGUUCCACGUGUGGGUUUUUGUAUGUACCAUAUGAAUAAGGAUCGGCUAACUACGUGCCAGCAGCCGCGGUAAUACGGAGGAUGCGAGCGUUAUCCGGAUUUAUUGGGUUUAAAGGGAGCGUAGGUGGAUUGUUAAGUCAGUUGUGAAAGUUUUCGGCUCAACCGUAACAUUGCAGUUGAAACUGGGAGUCUUGAGUACAGUAGAGGUGGGCGGAAUUCGUGGUGUAGCGGUGAAAUGCUUAGAUAUCAGGAAGAACACCGAUUGCGAAAGCAGCUCUCUGGACUGCAACUGACACUGAGGCUCGAAAGUGUGGGUAGCAAACAGGAUUAGAUACCCGGGUAGUC
rnacentral:rRNA from 1 species